rnacentral:sRNA from 1 species
AAAAAAAGAACCAAAAAAAAAAAAAAAAAAAGUUACAGGCGCCCAUCUCCGAGCCACAGUUGGCUCAUGCAUGAUCAGGACCUAGAUGUGGAGGCAGGAUAUUCUCAGAAGGAAUCCUGAACAGGGAGGUAAGAAACAUGACACCUCGUCCGUAGCAUUGAUAAAGGCUCAGCCUCCUGUUCUGCCGACCAAAUGGCAUGUCAUGAGAGCCAACGAGGUAGUGGAUGUGAAAGGGCUUUAAGACCUUGGGAAUAAAGGGACUGUGCAUACACAUGAGGUAAUAUAUCCUCAAGGGCAUGUGCAUCCCUUUGGGGGGAAAUGAUGCAUGGAAAGAAAUGUGAAGGGAAAGCCAGUAAACAGGACGCUAACUCCCGUCCGACAGCAUCAGCAUCACCUGGGAAAUUGGGAGAACUGUGACACUGUGGGCCACAUCCCAGACCAGCUGGGCAGCUGGCUCAGGAAGUGGAGGCAGGCCUUCUGUUUUAAAUCAGCUUUCCAGCUGUGUGGUGGUGGUGUCACUUUUAAUGCAGACAGAGGCAGAUAGAUCUCAAAGUUUGCUGUCAGCCUGGUCUAUGGAGUGAGUUCCAGCAUGGCCAGUGACCCCCGUCUCACAAAACCAAAAAAAUCAGCGUUCCAGGGGAUUCUAAUGCACACUGACGUUGGAGAGCCGCUGGCCCUGCCUUUGCCUCUAGCUUCUGUAGUUUGGGGAAUCUCUGUUAUCGUGGCGACUUUUGGCCCCCUUGCUUCAGUAGAGCCAUUUGCCCUGUGCAGAGGAGAGAAAACACUGUCUCCAGAGUUUGUAAGAAAAAGGAAAAAGCCUGCACUGUCCAUUGUUUUUGACAGUGCGCCCUGGAGAGCUUGUUAAGAUGGAGGUAGGCUUGAGAGCCUCCUCCCUCUGCCUCAAAGGUGCUGGUGUGUUUGCCUCACCUCCUGCCCUGGGGCCUGCUGCUUCUCCAGCCAGUCCUUAAAAGGAGCAGCGAGUGCCACAUUUGUUCUUUCUGGUGCCAGGUCUGCGUUAUUUCACCUCCCUGGCGUCAAGUGGAUGCUUAAUGAGAGCCGUGACGUAGGUGCAGCAGACUUGAGAGAAAGCAGCCACAGCCUGGGCUAUCUGCUGGCUCUCUCCUCUUCACCUUUCCCAGCCUCCAGUUCUGCCUCCGUGAGGCAGCUACAGCCACCCAUCUGUCCUAACUCUGUAGCCCAGAAAAGGCUUCUGACUCAGAAGGAGAUGCUGGUGGGGCUCUGUGGCCACUGAUAAAUGACAGUGCGAAGUGGUAGUGACUUUGUUUAUCUCUAUCCUCUUGGCAAGCCCCGCUGGCCCCAUCCUCGGUCAUAAGGGAAAAUGUUGCCAUUUCUUGGUGUUUUUAAGGACCAGUGCCAUCUCUUCCUGUAAUUCUUGUCUCUGACCUUGGAUUCAGAAGGGAAGAAGCGUCCUGUCAGCUAAGGUCAGCUGUGGAGUUCAGAGGGCUAUGAUGGAGUCAGAGAAGUGUACUCCAUAUAAAAGCAAGGGUACCUACCCCACCAGACACCCUCAACCUGUGGUCAGACGUGCCUUGCCUUACCUCCAGGGAAGUAAAAGAAGCCAUCUGUCCUAAAGAGCUGUCAGAAUGGCUUGAGCCAUUCCUCCUUUCCCUGACAGAGUACUGAUUCCCAAUAAAAAGAAAAGUUAAAAAAAAAAAAGAAGCAGAUAAAGACCACAUGUCAAACGCCCACUUCAUUUAAUUCAACGUAUUUUCAGAGCACCAGGCUACUGUUCCGAGUGUCUACUGAGUGUAGGCAUGUCUUGCACACUCUAGCUUUCUCAACAACCCUUCAAGGUCAGCACAGCAAGCCUCAUUCUACAGGUAAGGAGACUGAGGCUUUUAGAGGUUAAUGUUGAACAAGUAGAUGAGAGGUAUGGGGUUGGGAUUUAUUCUCUCAGACUCCAAAGUGGGCUUCGCCUGGGGCCUGGGAUCUAAAUGCACACCUUUCUGACAGGAUUGCCCCCCAACUCCCACCCCGGCUAACCUCGUGCUCUCCCUGCCAGGCCCUCCGGGUGCCCUCCUUGCCUGGCUUCUUCCAACCAUGCAGCUGGUUCCCCAGAGUUGCGUUUAAAGAAGACUCCGGACUUUUAAAGAGUAGUUGCGUCUGCUUGUUGGAGGGAGGAGGGUUUCCUAAGGGAAAACUCUGGGUCAGACCUUUCAACAAAGCAACCAGGAACAGUCAUGGCUGGCCCUUGAGGCCUCAAGAGGAACGACUGACACGGGUUUCUCCUGUUCCAUAGUUGACACUAACAGCAGGAUGGUACAACCUGGACAGACAGCUGGGAGGUGUCACCUGUGUCUUGUCCUGGAGAAGAGCUCCCCUCUCCCAGGAAAAGCUUGCUGUUGUGACAGGCACUGCAGACUUCUAUAAUGAAGAUGUCCUGUGUCAGCUUCCUGUCUCACCAAUUGCCAGGACGGCUUCCCUCUAAAGGCUGUUGCCCAUGAAGAGAAGCCCCCAUGUCCUCUCAGUCCUCUUUGCCACUUCCUGCUUAGGUUCAUUUGUAAAGACCGAACCAGAUCCCCGCCAUAUCUUUACAUCCUCAACCUGUGGUCAGACAUGCCUUGCCCUGUGUUGUUCGAUGGAUCA